rnacentral:ncRNA from 1 species
CAAAAGCGCCAGCGCCUGCGCCGGGUUCUAUCCCGGGCAGGACGACGAGGAGAAGAGAGAAUCGAAGCUUCGGCGGGUGCUCUUCCGUGCGUGCGGGCGCGUGACACAGUCUGCAAAUAUGCGGGCGACCGCAAAACAAAGGGGCUGUGA